rnacentral:rRNA from 1 species
UACAGAGGGGUCGAGCGUUGUCCGGAUUCAUUGGGCGUAAAGGGUGCGUAGGCGGUGAGGUAAGUCGGAUGUGAAAUCCCAAGGCUUAACCUUGGAAGUGCAUCCGAAACUACCUGGCUUGAGGACUGGAAGGGAGACUGGAAUUCUCGGUGUAGCGGUGAAAUGCGUAGAUAUCAGGAGGAACACCAAUGGCGAAGGCAGGUCUCUGGGCCGAAACUGACGCUGAGGAGCGAAAGCGUGGGGAGCGAACAGG